rnacentral:rRNA from 1 species
UACGUAGGGUGCAAGCGUUGUCCGGAAUUAUUGGGCGUAAAGAGCUCGUAGGCGGUCUGUCACGUCUGCUGUGAAAACUCGGGGCUUAACCCCGGGCCUGCAGUGGGUACGGGCAGACUAGAGUGCGGUAGGGGAGACUGGAAUUCCUGGUGUAGCGGUGAAAUGCGCAGAUAUCAGGAGGAACACCGGUGGCGAAGGCAAUCCCCUGGGCCUGCACUGACGCUCAUGCACGAAAGCGUGGGGAGCAAACAGG